rnacentral:rRNA from 1 species
AACGAACGCUGGCGGCAUGCCUAACACAUGCCAGUCGAACGAACCCUUCGGGGUUAGUGGCGCACGGGUGCGUAACGCGUGGGAAUCUGCCCUUUGCUUCGGAAUAACUCAGGGAAACUUGUGCUAAUACCGGAUGAUGUCUUCGGACCAAAGAUUUAUCGGCAAGGGAUGAGCCCGCGUAGGAUUAGGUAGUUGGUGGGGUAAAGGCCUACCAAGCCGACGAUCCUUAGCUGGUCUGAGAGGAUGAUCAGCCACACUGGGACUGAGACACGGCCCAGACUCCUACGGGAGGCAGCAGUGGGGAAUAUUGGACAAUGGGCGCAAGCCUGAUCCAGCAAUGCCGCGUGAGUGAUGAAGGCCCUCGGGUCGUAAAGCUCUUUUACCAGGGAUGAUAAUGACAGUACCUGGAGAAUAAGCGCCGGCUAACUCCGUG